GACGUAGGGCGCGAGCGUUUGUCCGGAUUUAUUGGGCGUAAAAGAGCUCGUAGGCGGCUUGUUGCGUCGUCCGUGAAAACUGUGGCUUAACUACAGGCUUGCGGUCGAUACGGGCGGGCUGGAGUUCGGUAGGGGAGACUGGAAUUCCUGGUGUAGCGGUGAAAUGCGCAGAUAUCAGGAGGAACACCGGUGGCGAAGGCGGGUCUCUGGGCCGAUACUGACGCUGAGGAGCGAAAGCGUGGGGGAGCGAACAGG
rnacentral:rRNA from 1 species